ACGAUCCGUAGCUGGUCUGAGAGGAUGAUCAGCCACAUCGGGACUGAGACACGGCCCGAACUCCUACGGGAGGCAGCAGUGGGGAAUAUUGGACAAUGGGGGAAAGCCUGAUCCAGCCAUGCCGCGUGUGUGAAGAAGGCCCUCGGGUUGUAAAGCACUUUCAGCGAGGAAGAACGCCUAGCGGUUAAUACCCGCUAGGAAAGACAUCACUCGCAGAAGAAGCACCGGCUAACUCCGUGCCAGCAGCCGCGGUAAUACGGAGGGUGCAAGCGUUAAUCGGAAUUACUGGGCGUAAAGCGCGCGUAGGUGGCUUGAUAAGCCGGUUGUGAAAGCCCCGGGCUCAACCUGGGAACGGCAUCCGGAACUGUCAAGCUAGAGUGCAGGAGAGGAAGGUAGAAUUCCCGGUGUAGCGGUGAAAUGCGUAGAGAUCGGGAGGAAUACCAGUGGCGAAGGCGGCCUUCUGGACUGACACUGACACUGAGGUGCGAAAGCGUGGGUAGCAAACAGGAUUAGAUACCCUGGUAGUCCACGCCGUAAACGAUGUCGACCAGCCGUUGGGUGCCUAGCGCACUUUGUGGCGAAGUUAACGCGAUAAGUCGACCGCCUGGGGAGUACGGCCGCAAGGUUAAAACUCAAAUGAAUUGACGGGGGCCCGCACAAGCGGUGGAGCAUGUGGUUUAAUUCGAUGCAACGCGAAGAACCUUACCUACUCUUGACAUCCUGCGAAUUUGGUAGAGAUACCUUAGUGCCUUCGGGAACGCAGAGACAGGUGCU
rnacentral:rRNA from 1 species